UAUGUUUACUCAGAUAUUUUCAUUUCUGUUCUUCUUUUAUUCUUGAUGUUCCUGUUUCCUUCAGGUAUCAUUUCCCUAUCUGAAGAACUUCUUUUGGCAAUUCUUUUAGAGAAUGACUGUUGCCAAGAAAUUAUUUUUAUUUUCCUUCUCUAAUCAUGUCUUUAUUUUAACUCUACCCCUGAAGGAUAUUCUCACUGGAUAUAGAAGCAUAUUUCUUGAUAGGGUGGGUGAAAAAAAAAUCCCAGUGAGGUACUGACCAUCAAAUGACCACCACUGACCUAGUCACAAUCCCUGCAUGGUGGAGGACUGAUUCCAGUAUAAGUCCUAUGAUAUUAAUUUUGACACCUAACCCCCUGAUUCAUCCAUUUGUGAUGUUCAGGGCUUGGACAAAUUAUGUAAGCUAAUAGAUUCUCUUUGAACUUAACCUAUUUUGAUUUGGUUUUCUGUCUCUUGCAGCCAAAAGUCCUGUCUAGUAAAUAUACUCAUGAGCAAUUGCUGUCAACAAAUGUGUUUUAUUUUCGCUGUGGGGAGAGGACUGGACCCUGAGCAUAAGGAGUUUUAUCCUUGCUGAAGAUGGUCAUACCUGAAGCCAUGGCCCUGUGGAGAACAUGUAGAUUGGGGCAGUGGCUGUGUCUGUGGUAACCAAUCUGGGCUAUUGAUCCAGUCAUUGGAGAGUUUCCUUGAGGCUUUAAUGGGAGGUAAGGGAACUAUGCAUACCUCGGGUGGCCUUCUUGAGAAUGCCAAUAAUGACUGAGAUAAAAUUUUCUGCCAGGGUUGCAGUGUGAGGCUUCCGAUUUGGAUUUAAGUUCAUUACAAGAAAAUAAAUAUUAAUUUCUCCAUA